CUUGGCCUUCGGGGCAGGGUGCGGGAUCAUGAUCCCAAUUCCCGAUCGGUGGUGAUAACCCACGAGCGCAUCAAUCAGCGCAUGACCUGGUGAAACUCCAGGGUCGACGGUAAAGUCCGGAUGAAAGAAGGCAAAU
rnacentral:ncRNA from 2 species